UGAUAAACCGGAGGAAGGUGGGGAUGACGUCAAGUCAGCAUGGCCUUUAUGUCUGGGGCUACACACGUGCUACAAUGGCAGGUACAAACCGUCGCGAUGCCGCAAGGUGGAGCUAAUCGGAGAAAACCUGUCUCAGUUCGGAUUGUAGGCUGCAAGUAACCUGCAUGAAGUUGGAAUCGCUAGUAAUCGCGGAUCAGCACGCCGCGGUGAAUACGUUCCCGGGCCUUGUCCGCACCGCCCGUCACAUCACGAAAGCCGGCUGUACUAGAAGACUCCAGUUAACCCGCAAGGGAGACAAGCGCCUAAGGUAUGGUCGG
rnacentral:rRNA from 1 species